CAAGUAUUAAACGAGACAAUAUGAAGAAUGUAAUGUUCACAUCAUGGUGGUGGCGUUUCUCAAGAUUGAAAAAGUCGUGAGCAACACUGCCGUGUGAAAACUUGUAAAGAUAUUCAUAGGAGGCCUGUU
rfam:Prevotella sp. CAG:487 genomic scaffold, scf728